rnacentral:snoRNA from 1 species
UUUAAGGAUGAUAAACAUACACAGACCUGUACGCAAUCGUCCUAGACGUUGUCGACAACUUGUAUUGCCUUUUUUUGCUGAAA